GAUGAACGCUAGCGGGAGGCCUAACACGUGCAAGCCGAGCGGUAGAGUUUCUUCGGAAACUUGAGAGCGGCGCACGGGUGCGUAACACGUGUGCAACCUACCUUUAUCUGGGGGAUAGCCUUUCGAAAGGAAGAUUAAUACCCCAUAAUAUAAUGAUUGGCAUCAAUUAUUAUUGAAAACUCCGGUGGAUAGAGAUGGGCACGCGCAAGAUUAGAUAGUUGGUGAGGUAACGGCUCACCAAGUCAAUGAUCUUUAGGGGUCCUGAGAGGGAGAUCCCCCACACUGGUACUGAGACACGGACCAGACUCCUACGGGAGGCAGCAGUGAGGAAUAGUGGACAAUGGGUGAGAGCCUGAUCCAGCCAUCCCGCGUGAAGGAUGACGGUCCUAUGGAUUGUAAACUUCUUUUGUACAGGGAUAAACCUACCCUCGUGAGGGUAGCUGAAGGUACUGUACGAAUAAGCACCGGCUAACUCCGUG
rnacentral:rRNA from 1 species